UUUAAUUAUUUUUAAUAUAUCGAAAAAUAAUUUCUUUGCUGUAAUAUUGAUUUCCACUCCAAGUAGGCUAUUUUAGAUGAAAUCAAAAUGAUAGCGUAUAAUUAAUCCAUUUGAUGUAAAUUUAAAAAAUAUAUAUAUUAAAAAAAUUAAAAAAAAAACCCCUCUAUAUGAAGGUUCUGUUCACCUUCAUUUUCCUCACAAGCCCUCCAUCCAACUCCCAACCCCAAGAUCCCACCCCUUUGGGGGUCUAUUCUCUUCCAUUUCUCUUCCAGAUUGCAAAAUUCUGUUCAAUUAUCCCUCAUUUUAUACAAGAACAAAAAAUAUUUUGUAUUUGUUUUACUUAAUUACUUUUCUGUUUGUUAUUCAGCAGAGAGACUGCUUCUUCUCUGCUUGUUUACAGAAUCAUCCAGUUUGAGAUGACGUCGACUAAUUCUUCCACUUCUACCACCUCCCAGAAGGACAAGAAAAGAAACUUUCCUCCUAAGAGAGGCCAGAUCAAAGCUCAGAUUUUUCAAAGCUUGACCAAAACUGUAAGCUCUUGGGUCACCAAGGCAGGGGAAGCUCUGAAAAGAGACAGAGGACAUGGUGCAGAUGGAGGAAUUUCUUCUUCUACUGCUGCAACCUCACCAUUCAGCACCUUCAAUUCAGAUGGAUAAAUUCCUUGUUCCAUCACUUUUCAAGUAUAUCUCAGAAGCUGUGAUUUCAUUGUUUUUAACUUGGAUCACGGCACCUAUGUCUAUUAUCGUGUGAUUAGAAAGUCCCUGCAUUAACUGAUAUUAAUUUGACCCAGUUUUUGGCAGGGCUAUAAGCCAACUAUGUUUGUUGUAUUAGGUCAGGUCAAUAGAUAGGUUGCUCCUGCAUAACUCAUAUUUGUGGAAGUUACGGCAGGAGUAUAACCCUUCUAUUUAUGUUUGUUUUCUAGGCCAUUGUCUUGCAGAUAUGGCUUGUCCAUAUAUUCUCAGUUCUUCUUUUGUUGGGUAGCUUUAAAAAAAAAAAAAAAAAAAAAAAACCCCUCUUCUACCAUUGUCAUUUUCCACAGUUUUUGGAGAGGAGAUGAUGAACUUGGAAGAGGGUUGUUGUAAUCUUGGCUUGGGGCGUCUUUGGCUUUGUAUUUCCAGUUGUGUCACGUCUAGUUGUUAUGCUAUGUGAAAUAUAAGAUUCUACUUAUUCUCUCUC